rnacentral:rRNA from 1 species
ACAGCAGCCGCCGCGGGAAAACAGAGGGUGCGAGCGUUAAUCGGAUUUACUGGGCGUAAAGCGUGCGUAGGCGGCUUUUUAAGUCGGAUGUGAAAUCCCUGAGCUUAACUUAGGAAUUGCAUUCGAUACUGGGAAGCUAGAGUAUGGGAGAGGAUGGUAGAAUUCCAGGUGUAGCGGUGAAAUGCGUAGAGAUCUGGAGGAAUACCGAUGGCGAAGGCAGCCAUCUGGCCUAAUACUGACGCUGAGGUACGAAAGCAUGGGGAGCAAACAGGAUUAGAUACCCCAGUAGUCCCUGUCUCUUAUAC